UUAAAUUGCUGUAGUAUUUUGACUACAUCAAGGUAUUGUAAUAAGAUUUUAAUUGAAUGCUAAAAGAAUGGAAAUUUAAAAAAAAACUUUUUUAAAAAUAAAAAUUGAAUUUUUUUUAAUUUGUGCAAAAACAAUUAUUAUUAUUAAAGACAAGAAGACCCUAAGAAUUUAUGAUUUUGCAAUUAGAAUUUUUUUCUAAAAAUCUUGAUUGGGGCGAUCAAAAAAUAUUAAUAACUUUUUAAAUUUAAAUUGAUCUAUUAUUAAUAAACUAAUGAAUUAAAUACUCUAGGGAUAACAGCGUAAUAAUUUUUGAUAGAUCUUAUUGACAAAAUAGUUUGCGACCUCGAUGUUGGAUUAGGAUCCUUUUUUAAUGAAGAAGUUAAAAAAAGAAGUUUGUUCAACUUUUAAAUUCCUACUUGAUCUGAGUUCAGACCGG
rnacentral:rRNA from 1 species